rnacentral:rRNA from 1 species
UUCAGUAAGAAUUUAAUUUUGGUUCCGAUUGAACGUUUUUCAGUAGUUUAAGACAUGCAAAUCGUUGUUCUCAACAUCCUUUAUUAAUUAAUAUUUUAAUAUUAAUGGGAUUAGGGGAUAAGGUGUAGAGGUGAGUAUGUUAAAUAAGAUACCAUAUAGUCUUCUUAACUAGGAGAUAUAAAGUAAAGGAAAAUUUCUGCUAUAGGAUUCUAUUUAAUUUGAUUAGGUAGUUGAUAGGGUAACGGCCUACCAAGCCAACGAUCAAAAGUCAAGUUUGAAAGAACCUCUGGCCACAUUGGGGAUGAAAUCUCCCAAGUAGUAAGAACACUACCAGCAGUCGAGAAUAUUAGUCAAUGCUCGUAAGAGUGAACUAGCUAACUGAAAUCAUAGUAUUUUUUCAAAUUCAUGAUGUCGUAAGGGAAAAUAAUGAUAAUACCUUACUAUGAGUGUCGUCCAAAUCUGGUGCCAGAAGACUCGGUAAGACCAGAGACGCAAACGUUAAUCAUCAUAAACAGGCGUAAAGGGUUUGUAGGCAGCUUUUAUAAGAUUAUUUUUUUUUUUAAAAAUAAAGGGUAAUCUAAAUUGAAAGCUAGAAUCAAAAAGAGGUUAUAGUGUAUAACGCCUAGAGGAGGGCUGAUAUCCAUAGAUCCUAGGCAGAAUACUCAGGGCGAAGGCCACUCUCCACUAAUGAUUGACGCUGAGAAACGAAGGUUAGGGUAGGAAAUAGGAUUAGAUACCCCGGUACUCCUUUCUGUAAACGAUGAAUGGUAGUCAUUAGUUAAAUUAAAAUAACUAGAGGCGAAGUUAACACAAUAAUCAUUCCGCCUUGUGAGUACUACUGCAAAGUAGAAAACAAAAAAAUUAGUCGGUCUCGAAGCAAACGGAGUGAAGCAUGUUAUUUAAUACGAUAAUCCGCGUAAAACCUUACCAGAACUUGCAUACAAACUAUAAAUUUUCUUUACUGAAAAGGAAAAGAAAAAAUUAGGAGUAUUUUAUAAUUUAAAGUACUUAAGUACAGGUGUUGCAUGGCUGUCUUCAGUUCGUGUUGUUAAACAUUAGGUUAAUUCCACUAACGAACGAAAUCCCUGUUAUUAAUUUAUACUUAAUAACUAAUGAAUCUGAUAGAGAUUCAGCGGGGGCUAAGACAAGUCGUUAUGGCCCUCAUGUUCUGGGCUAUAGACGUGCCACAAAAACUUUUACAAAGUGAUGCAAUACUUCCCAAGAGAAGUGGAGCUAAACAUUAAAAAAAGUGAUUUAUAUUAAAUAUAAGCCGGAUUGUCUCCUGUAAUUCGGAGGCAUGAAGAAGGAAUUCCGAGUAAUCGUUGAUAAGUAGCGCAACGGUGAAGCUAGUUUCGUGAUGAACUAACUGUCUGUCGCUGGGAAGAAGCUUUUAGUGGAGGAAACUGGAGUAAGCUAAUGUUUUUUAAUAGUAGCUCAUUGCUUUAAGUAAAGUAUUUUGAGUAUUAGGAUAAACUUAUUGGAUUUAGUGAAUUCAUUGGGGUAACAUCUCAAAAGUCAUAGCAUGGUAGCUGUACUGGAAAGUGCAGCUGGAUAAUAAUUAAU